UGUUUAGGGGGUCAAACUGUACGUUAUAUGUGUAAAUGAAGAAAUUCAUAAGCGUAUAGCUUUUCCCCUUAAAAG
rfam:Drosophila grimshawi strain TSC#15287-2541.00 scaffold_15252 genomic scaffold, whole genome shotgun sequence.